UAGAUAUCACUAUAUCUAUGUAUCACAAUAUAACUCAUAUAUUUAUAGAGAUUUGACUAGUUUUUGAUAGUGAAGCCUGGCUAUUUGAUUGGUAAGAGAGGGUGGCAAAUUUGAUUGGCAAGAGGGGUGGCAAUCUUGAUUGGUAUAAAAAAGCAGUACUACAUGUUUAUAUUCAUAAUACUUCUCCUUCUUAAAUGACCACUCACUAAGAAUAUGCCUCAUUAAAACCGGAUUGCUUAAUUAAAACUUUGCAAAGUAAAAUCCUUAUGGAAAAAAGGUACAAUUAGCACAUAUUCUUCAAAAAAUGUACCCCCCUCAUGAGUACGUGGGGUCUUAAUUUUUUUUAUGAUUUUUGGGGUUUUGAUUCUUUGUUUGAUCAGUGGGUGAAGGGAGAGCUUGAUGAUCUGGGUUUUGAUUAGUGGCUGAUGAUGGUGCACGGUCUGCAGUGGCUGUGCUUGAUGACGGUGGAUUGAUCGUUGACGGUGGCUUGGGUUGUGUGUAGAGGAUUUUCAGAGAAGUGUGAAAGGUGAAAGAAAUAAUAAAAAAUCGUAAAAGAACGAAUGGAAUGUUUUAUUGAAUAAAUAUGUAGAAUAGGCUAACUGACACGUGCGUUUUGUAAAAAUAGGCUCGCUUGUAUUCCUAUACGAUCCUAACGAUAUCAAAAUCCACCACCUUAAUUUGCCGCUUGCCACCUUCUCUCCGCUUGCCGCCACCACCACCUGAGCCAUGAACCACCUCCUCAACUCCAACAGACCCACCCCUAAACCAUGGCCCCUUAAGAAACCCUCUUACAGAUCCCCUCUCCUCUCUCUCUCUCUCCUCACUCUUCUCUUCUCUCUCCUCUUCUUUCUCUCCUACUAUUCCCUCACCCCCAAUUCCCACAUCUCACCCUCUACAAAAACCCUAAAUUCCCAAUUCCCCCAAUGCCCCAUUUCCCAAUUACCCCAAAAAUUCCUCUGGUACGCUCCCCACAGUGGGUUCAGCAACCAGGUUUCCGAGUUCAAGACUGCUAUCUUAAUGGCCGCAAUUCUCAACCGGACCUUGAUUGUUCCUCCGGUUCUCGAUCACCACGCUGUUGCUCUCGGAAGCUGCCCCAAAUUCCGGGUUUCCGAUCCGAAUAAAAUUCGGGUUGACGUUUGGAACCAUGUGGUUGAGCUCCUCAGGACUGGCAGGUAUGUCUCGAUGGCUGACAUUGUUGAUAUUUCGUCGUUAGUGUCUUCAUCUGUUAUUCAAACGAUAGAUUUCAGGGUUUUUGCAUCCCUAUGGUGUGGGGUGAAAGAUUUUGAUUGUUUCAUUGAAUCAAAUGAGCAGUUGUCUUUGUUUGAUAGCCUUAAGCAAUGUGGAUCUCUACUAUCUGGGCUAAAUGGUAAUGUUGAUAAAUGUGUACAUGCAGUAGGUGAAGAUUGUAGGACUACAGUUUGGACUUACCAAAAUGGUGAAAAGGAUGGGGUAUUAGAUUCAUUCCAACCUGAUGAACAGCUUAAGAGGAAGAAGAAAAUUUCAUAUGUUAGGAGACGAAGAGACAUAUAUCAGACUCUUGGACCCAGUUCUGCAGCUGAAUCAGCCACUCUGCUGGCAUUUGGAAGUCUUUUCACCUCUCCAUAUAGAGGUUCAGAGCUGUACAUCGAUAUUCAUGAAGCUCCAAGAGAUCAACGGAUACAGUCUUUGAUUAAAAAGAUUGAAUUUCUUCCUUUUGUCCCUGAAAUUUUGAGUGCAGGAAAGGAGUUCGCUGAUAAGAACAUAAAUGCCCAUUUUCUUUGUGCACAGCUCAGAUUGUUAGAUGGGCAGUUCAAGAAUCAUUGGAAAGCUACUUUUCUGAGUUUAAAACAGAAAGUAGAAUCUUUGGGACAGAGUCCACUCCCUAUUCAUAUUUUUGUGAUGACUGAUCUUCCCGAAGGUAAUUGGACUGGAAGUUAUUUGGGGGAUUUGGCUAGAGAUUCACAUCAUUUUAAGCUGCAUUUUCUGAGAGAAGAAGAUGAGUUAGUGAUAAAAACAGCCAAAAAGGUUGUGGCUGCUAAGCAUAGCCUGAGGUUUGCAUUUGUUCCAGAGAGAAUGGGUGGUCUAAAAGAACAUUGCCCUUCUGAGAGAUUACCUGAUGUACUUCUAUUCAUAGAGGAAGCUGUUUGCAGCUGUGCUUCACUUGGUUUUGUUGGGACUGCGGGGUCUACUAUUGCAGAGAGUGUAGAGCUUAUGAGGAAAUUUGGCACAUGUGCAAGCCAAAGUCUGACUGCAUUGUGACAGGUGGUAUUAGUUUAUGAGAAGAAAUUUCUCUGGUUAAGGGUUGUAAAAGUAUGUUACAAGCCUUCCACUUGAAUUGUCUUGCAGUAGAAGAUGAUGGGACCAGCAGUCUUCGGAUAUUUUUUAUGCUUUCUCGUGAUUUUUGUGAUCCAGCCAGCAUUUCAUCCAAAUCUUCUGUUUGUUGAAGGCACAAAAAACUGUUAAAAGGAAGAAAUUUCCUCAUGUCAGGAUUCAACUCCACUGAGGUUGCAGUUUAUUGAAGGUCAAUGUAAAAAAGAGUUGUUUUGGGGGCUGUUUUUACACAAAAACCUAUACCAACUGAGCAACAAUUGGAGCAAUCCAUCUGAACAAGAUUGAAGUAUGAAGUCCCAACUACCUCUCAGAAAAAGGGCUCAACGAUAUCUGCCAUGGAUUGAGAGAAAUGAAUUUUUUUCAAGAAAAGUGUUGCAGAAUUUCCUACACUGUGUCAUCUCUCUUCUAGAUGCGAUAUCUUUGCGACCGUAAUUCCAAAUCGAACAAGGUCGGAGUCUAUGGAAACUAGACAUCUAGAGCUUUCUAGGUAUAUCAAAUUUGAAGAAAUUGGACCUCAGAAAUGCCUCCAAACUGCAACAUGGAAUUCAGACCAAAACCAAGAAAAAUAUGAAAUAGGAAAACUUAAGGAGUAAGUAGGGAACAAUAUAGUGGUGUUUCCAGAACACCACCACAUAUAGAGUCAAGAAAGAGGACAAAUCAGAAAAUUGGAAAAGAAGAAUGGAGAAGCUUCUAGAGGCCCCCACUCUUGGAAAAGGACACUAGGAGACACAAAAAAAAUCCUACAAAAUUCUCUAGGCUAGAAUUCUCUCUAUCUCUCUCUCUAGAUUCUCCCUAGGAAACCCCUCUCAAAAUUUCUAGUCCCUCUUUUCCUUCAUAAGAAAAAAAAAAAAAAAAAAAAACCUUUUUUUGGGUAAGUGGGUAAGUUGUAAAGGAAUGGGUUAGCUUCUUUAUUGCUAUACCCAUUCCCCUUUUCUCUUUUCCUUGUAACGUCAUAACAUUGUAUAUAUAAAAAUGCUUCUUUUAUUCA